rnacentral:rRNA from 1 species
CCUACGGGGUGCAGCAGUAGGGAAUAUUGCUCAAUGGGCGAAAGCCUGAAGCAGCAACGCCGCGUGCGUGAUGAAGGUCUUCGGAUCGUAAAGCGCUCUUCUGCGAGAUGAGAAAGGACAGCAUCGUAGGAAUAAGUCUCGGCUAACUACGUGCCAGCAGCCGCGGUAACACGUAGGAGGCGAGCGUUAUCCGGAUUCACUGGGCGUAAAGCGCGUGCAGGCGGUUUGGUAAGUUGGGCGUGAAAGCUCCCGGCUCAACUGGGAGAGGUCGUUCAAUACUACCAAACUAGAGAGUAGAAGAGGAAGAUGGAAUUCCCGGUGUAGUGGUGAAAUGCGUAGAUAUCGGGAGGAACACCAGUGGCGAAAGCGAUCUUCUGGUCUAUUUCUGACGCUCAGACGCGACAGCUAGGGUAGUAAACGGGAUUAGAUACCCGCGUAGUC